rnacentral:rRNA from 1 species
GAUGAACGCUGGCGGCGUGCCUAAUACAUGCAAGUCGAGCGAACAGAUAAGGAGCUUGCUCCUUUGACGUUAGCGGCGGACGGGUGAGUUACACGUGGAUAACCUACCUAUAAGACUGGGAUAACUUCGGGAAACCGGAGCUAAUACCGGAUAACAUAUUGAACCGCAUGGUUCAAUAGUGAAAGGCGGCUUUGCUGUCACUUAUAGAUGGAUCCGCGCCGUAUUAGCUAGUUGGUAAGGUAACGGCUUACCAAGCAACGAUACGUAGCCGACCUGAGAGGGUGAUCGGCCACACUGGAACUGAGACACGGUCCAGACUCCUACGGGAGGCAGCAGUAGGGAAUCUUCCGCAAUGGGCGAAAGCCUGACGGAGCAACGCCGCGUGAGUGAUGAAGGUCUUCGGAUCGUAAAACUCUGUUAUCAGGGAAGAACAAAUGUGUAAGUAACUGUGCACAUCUUGACGGUACCUGAUCAGAAAGCCACGGCUAACUACGUG